UACAGAGGUCUCAAGCGUUGUUCGGAUUCAUUGGGCGUAAAGGGUGCGUAGGCGGCGCGGUAAGUCGGGUGUGAAAUCUCGGAGCUUAACUCCGAAACUGCAUUCGAUACUGCCGUGCUUGAGGACUGGAGAGGAGACUGGAAUUUACGGUGUAGCGGUGAAAUGCGUAGAUAUCGUAAUGAAGACCAGUGGCGAAGGCGGGUCUCUGGACAGUUCCUGACGCUGAGGCACGAAGGUCAGGGGAGCAAACGGG
rnacentral:rRNA from 1 species